rnacentral:ncRNA from 1 species
ACUUUAAUAAAAAGGUGAAAAGCUUAGCACGGCCUUGGUAAGCAAGGAACAGGAAUUCAAUGCACGUUUCGAAUCCAUAUUUCACUUAAAAGAAAAAGGGUUUUCCACCGGUGAAGUUGAAUUUGCUCAAUAUUUAUU